ensembl:piRNA 21ur-4388 ncRNA
UUUUACGUUCUCUGGUUGAAA